rnacentral:rRNA from 1 species
GACGAACGCUGGCGGCGUGCUUAACACAUGCAAGUCGAACGCUGAAGCUCAGCUUUUGUUGGGUGGAUGAGUGGCGAACGGGUGAGUAACACGUGAGUAACCUGCCCCCUUCUUUGGGAUAACGCCCGGAAACGGGUGCUAAUACUGGAUAUUCACUGGUCUUCGCAUGGGGGUUGGUGGAAAGGGUUUUUCUGGUGGGGGAUGGGCUCGCGGCCUAUCAGCUUGUUGGUGGGGUGAUGGCCUACCAAGGCUUUGACGGGUAGCCGGCCUGAGAGGGUGACCGGUCACAUUGGGACUGAGAUACGGCCCAGACUCCUACGGGAGGCAGCAGUGGGGAAUAUUGCACAAUGGGCGCAAGCCUGAUGCAGCGACGCCGCGUGAGGGAUGGAGGCCUUCGGGUUGUGAACCUCUUUCGCUCAUGGUCAAGCCGCAACAAUGGUUGUGGUGAGGGUAGUGGUAAAGAAGCGCCGGCUAACUACGUG